GACGAACGCUGGCGGCGUGCUUAACACAUGCAAGUCGAACGAUGAUGCUCCAGCUUGCUGGGGUGGAUUAGUGGCGAACGGGUGAGUAACACGUGAGUAACCUGCCCCCUUCUUCGGGAUAAGCUUGGGAAACUGGGUCUAAUACUGGAUAUUCUGCAAUUGUCGCAUGGUGGUUGUGGGAAAGAUUUUUUGGUGGGGGAUGGGCUCGCGGCCUAUCAGCUUGUUGGUGGGGUGAUGGCCUACCAAGGCGUCGACGGGUAGCCGGCCUGAGAGGGUGACCGGCCACACUGGGACGGAGAUACGGCCCAGACUCCUACGGGAGGCAGCAGUGGGGAAUAUUGCACAAUGGGCGCAAGCUUGAUGCAGCGACGCCGCGUGAGGGAUGACGGCUUUCGGGUUGUAAACCUCUUUCGAUGGGGAACAAGGCCAUAUUUUUGUGUGGUUGAGGGUACCUGUAGAAGAAGCGCCGGCUAACUACGUG
rnacentral:rRNA from 1 species